GGUUAAUGCUAGCGGUGCGCCUAACACAUGCAAGUCGAGCGGGAUUUGAUUAUAGCUUGCUACAAUUAAUGAGAGCGGCGAACGGGUGAGUAAUAUGUUGGUACAUGCCUCUAAGUCGGGGAUAGCCCACUGAAAAGUGGAAUAAUACCGGAUGGUCUCGAGAGAGUAAAGAUUUAUCGCUUAGAGAGUGGCCUGCAUUCUAUCAGCUAGUUGGUGAGGUAAAAGCUCACCAAGGCAAUGACGGAUAAUUGAUCUGAGAGGAUGAUCAGUCACAAUGGAACUGAGACACGGUCCAUACUCCUACGGGAGGCAGCAGUGGGGAAUAUUGCACAAUGGGCGCAAGCCUGAUGCAGCGACGCCGCGUGGGGGAUGACGGCCUUCGGGUUGUAAACCUCUUUCAGUAGGGACGAAGCGCGAGUGACGGUACCUACAGAAUAAGCACCGGCCAACUACGUGCCAGCCGCCGCGGUAAGAC
rnacentral:rRNA from 1 species